UGCCGGUUGGGUGGAAUCGUCCUCAUAACCCGAAGGUCGCAGGUUCAAAUCCUGCCCCCGCAACCA
rnacentral:tRNA from 1 species